AGGCGAGAGCCGCGGCUGACAGGGUCUGGGACAGAAGGAAAGCCCUCCGGCCUCCAGGCCCUGCCUUCUGCCUGCACAUUCUGCCCUGAUUUCCGGAACCUGGAAGCCUAGGCAGGCAGUGGGGAACUCUGACUCGCCUGUGCUCUGGAGCUUGAUCCGAAAGCUUCCACAGUGAGGACUGCUCCGUGGGGGUAAGAGAGCACCAGGCACUGAGGCCUGGGAGUUCCACAGACCAACACCCCUGCUCCUGGCGGCUCCCACCCGGGACUUAGACCCUCAGGUCCCUAAUAUCCCGGAGGUGCUCUCAAUCAGAAAGGUCCUGCUCCGCUUCGCAGUGGAAUGGAACGGAUUUAGAAGCCUGCAGUAGGGGAGUGGGGAGUGGAGAGAGGGAGCCCAGAGUUACAGACUGCGGCGAGAGGAUGGAGGGGCGUCUUUAUUUUUUUAAGGCCCCAAAGAGUCUGAUGUUUACAAGACCAGAAAUGCCACGGCCGCGUCCUGGCAGAGAAAAGGCUGAAAUGGAGGACCGGCGCCUUCCUUAUAAGCUCGUUGGGGCCUAAGCCAGUACCGACCUGGUAGAAAAAGCAACCACGAAGCUAGAGAGAGAGCCAGAGGAGGGAAGAGAGCGCCAGACGAAGGUGAAAGCGAACCACGCAGAGAAAUGCAGGCAAAGGAGCAAGGCGGCAGUUCCCGGAACAAACGUGGCAGAGGGCAAGACGGGCACUCACAGACAGAGGUUUAUGUAUUUUUAUUUUUUUAAAUCUGAUUUGGUGUUCCAUGAGGAAAAGGGAAAAUCUAGGGAACGGGAGUACAGAGAGAAUAAUCCGGGUCCUAGCUCGCCACAUGAACGCCCAGAGAACGCUGGAAAAACCUGAGCGGGUGCCGAGGCAGCACCCGGCUCCGGUCAGCCACUGCCCCACA
rnacentral:antisense_RNA from 1 species